UACGGAGGGUGCAAGCGUUGUUCGGAAUUAUUGGGCGUAAAGCGCGCGCAGGCGGUCUGGAAAGUCUAUGGGUGAAAUGCCGGGGCUCAACCCCGUGCAUGCCCAGGAUACUGUCAGACUGGAGACACGUAGAGGCAAGCGGAAUUUCGGGUGUAGCGGUGGAAUGCGUAGAUAUCCGAAAGAACACCGGAGGCGAAGGCGGCUUGCUGGGCGUGAUCGUGACGCUGAGGCGCGAAAGCGUGGGGAGCGAACAGG
rnacentral:rRNA from 1 species